rnacentral:rRNA from 1 species
GACGAACGCUGGCGGCGUGCUUAACACAUGCAAGUCGAACGGAAAGGCCCUGCUUUUGUGGGGUGCUCGAGUGGCGAACGGGUGAGUAACACGUGAGUAACCUGCCCUUGACUUUGGGAUAACUUCAGGAAACUGGGGCUAAUACCGGAUAGGAGCUCCUGCUGCAUGGGGGGGAUUGGAAAGUUUCGGCGGUUGGGGAUGGACUCGCGGCUUAUCAGCUUGUUGGUGGGGUAGUGGCUUACCAAGGCUUUGACGGGUAGCCGGCCUGAGAGGGUGACCGGCCACAUUGGGACUGAGAUACGGCCCAGACUCCUACGGGAGGCAGCAGUGGGGAAUAUUGCACAAUGGGCGGAAGCCUGAUGCAGCAACGCCGCGUGCGGGAUGACGGCCUACGGGUUGUAAACCGCUUUCGCCUGUGACGAAGCGUGAGUGACGGUAAUGGGUAAAGAAGCACCGGCUAACUACGUG